AUGUCGACGUCGGACGCCGAGCUGCUGGCCGCCCUCCGCGCCGCCGGCCGGGAGCAUCUCUCGGCGUCCACCGUCGCCCGGCGGCAGGAGACCGGCUCCCACCUGUUCCGGGUCGCCAACUACACGGAGGUCAAGGCGACGGUGCCCAACCGCGAGCACGUCGAGUCGAGCACGUUCACCGUCGGUGGCCACGAGUGGCGCAUCGACUGCUACCCGAACAGCUGCGUCAAGCCGCACAACGGCUGCAUCUCCCUCUUCCUCCGGCGCACCAGCAGCAGCGCCCCCCACUUUCUCCGACGUGGUGCCGGCAGCGCAAAGGCCGACGUCGCCAUGGCGUCCAUCAAGUUCAGCGUGCUGGACCGGGACGGGAACCCGGCGCGCACUCAGAGCUCGCCGCCGCGCCAGUUCGCGAGCGGCGACGACUGGGGCUGGACGGACUUCAUGAGGAGCGACGAGCUGGACAAGGAGAAGGAGAGGUACCUCAAGGACGACUGCCUGACGGUCCUGUGCGACGUCACCGUCGACCUCGGCCUGCGCACCGACAGCUGCACCGAGGUCGCUGCCGCCGCCGCGCCGGAGCCGACGGGCGAGUGGCCGCCCCCGCCGUUCGAGCUAGACGGGGAGCUCACCACGGCCAUCUGGAAGAAGCAACGGGCGGACGUGAGGAUCGAGGUCGGCGGGGAGACGCUGGCGGCGCACCGGUGGAUGCUGGAGGCCCGGUCCGCCGUGUUCAAGGAGGACCUCUCGCUCGCCUUCGCGGCCGCCGGCCACGGCAAGCAGACGGCCGAGCUGCGCAUCGAAGACAUGGACGCCGAGGUGGCCAGGACCCUGAUCCGGUUCAUCUACACGGACGCGCUGGCGUCGGACAUGAAGCAGCAGCUGGACGCGGCGACGGCCAUGGCGGAGCGCCUGCUUGUGGCGGCGCACAGGUACAAGCUGGAGAAGCUGAAGCACAUCUGCGAGGAGGCGCUGUGCCGGCACAUCGGGAUGAGCUCCGUGGCGGCCACCCUGGCGCUGGCGGAGCGGCACCGGUGCGCGGUGCUGAAGAAGGCGUGCAUGCAGUUUAUUUCUUCCCCUGCUAACCUAGUAGCCGUCGUCGCGACCGAUGGCUUUGAGCAGCUGAAGAUCGGUUGCCCCCCUGAUCUGGUCGACCUCAUGGCCAAGCACUUGGCCAAGGUUGGAGCGGUAGAUCAGUCCACGUUCGUGCCAUUUACUACCUUCUAG
rnacentral:rRNA from 1 species